AUGAGUUGUAACGGGGUUUUGAUGCUGGCAGGCCAAUUCUUUUGGUAUGCAUGUGCUCGCUCCAACAAUCAUUUUCCACACACCCGUGCACGUUUUUGAGGGAGCUUCGAGUUUGAUUUGCCUCUUUGGGCGAUUUUCUUGCAUCCCCUCAAACUUCAUUAUACGCUGUUAACAAUGCUGAACGUGCUUUGUGCCGCAAGGCCUUAAACAUUAAUA
rnacentral:misc_RNA from 1 species